GUAGGGAAUAUUGGACAAUGGGCGAAAGCCUGAUCCAGCCAUGCCGCGUGAUAGAUGAAGGCCCUCUGGGUUGUAAAUAUCUUUUAUCUGGGAAGAAACUCCUCUAUUCUUAGAGGCCUGACGGUACCAGAGGAAUAAGCACCGGCUAACUCCGUGCCAGCAGCCGCGGUAAUACGGAGGGUGCAAGCGUUAUCCGGAUACACUGGGUUUAAAGGGUGCGUAGGCGGGUUGAUAAGUCAGUGGUGAAAGCUCCGGGCUUAACUUGGAAACUGCCAUUGAUACUGUCAAUCUUGAAUGUCGUAGAGGUAAGCGGAAUGUUGCAUGUAGCGGUGAAAUGCUUAGAUAUGUUACAGAACACCAAUUGCGAAGGCAGCUUACUAUGCGAUAAUUGACGCUGAGGCACGAAAGCGUGGGGAGCAAACAGGAUUAGAUACCCGAGUAGUCC
rnacentral:rRNA from 1 species